rnacentral:rRNA from 1 species
AGCGAACGCUGGCGGCGUGCCUAACACAUGCAAGUCGAGCGAACCGUUUGGGGAAACUCGGACGGUUAGCGGCGGACGGGUGAGUAACACGUGGGUAACCCACCUGGGGGACCGGGAUAACGGCUCGAAAGGGCCGCUAAUACCGGAUACGCUCCCUGGGGCACAAGCCUCGGGGAGGAAAGGUCGCGCAAGCAGCCACUCCCGGACGGGCCCGCGGCCCAUUAGCUAGUUGGCGGGGUAACGGCCCACCAAGGCGAUGAUGGGUAGCCG